AUGGCCAACAGCUCAUCUUCUUCAGUUAACAAGCCCAUAUCCGAGACCUCGUCCAGAUGCCUGAACGAGUGCGUCACCGCCGCCCACAACUUCGAGGUGACUAGGUACUCGCUGCUUGAGGGUAUGGGUGCCGACAAGUUCAUUAGCUCGAGCGAUUUCAGCGUCGACGGCUAUGACUGGAACAUCAGGAUCUACCCUGGUGGGUGGAAGGAGGAGGACAACGCUCCCUACGUGUCUGCCUUCUUGAACAUGUGUAGUAAGCCAACAACGGGUGUCAAGGUGAAGUUCACUUUGAGUUUGCUGGAGAAAGAUGGAAAAGUUAGUAAUCUAAAGAGCGAGACACAUACCUUUCAGUCGAAUUACUGGGGCUGGCCCAAGUAUAUUGAGAAGUCCAAGCUGAAGGAACUGCUAUCCCGCAAUGACGACUGCAUCACAAUCAGGUGUGUUUUGACCGUCAUCAAAGAGCCUCGCACGGAAGAUAGCACAACUGUAGUCUCGGUCCCGCAGUCAGACCUCCAAACACACUUCACAAACAUGUUGAAGGAUGGAGAAGGCGUCGAUGUGAAAUUCAAUGUCGGUGGCCAACUGUUCAGCGCGCAUAGAUGCGUGCUAGCCGCGCGAUCCUUGGUGUUCAAGGCCGAGCUCUUUGGUCAGAUGAAGGAGACCACCAAGAGACGCAUCAAGAUAGAUGACAUGGAGCCCAUCAUCUUUGAGGCACUUCUUCACUUCAUAUACACAGAUUCAUGGCCUAGUAACUGCGAUCUGGAUCAGAAUGUGGAAUUGCAGCACUUGUUGGUUGCCGCAGAUCGGUAUGGACUAGAGAGGCUAAAGGUCAUUUGUGAAGGGAAGCUAUGCCAGAAAAUUGACGUGCAAACAGUGGCAACCACCCUUGCUUUAGCGGAGCAGCACCACGCCGCGCAGCUCAAGAAUGCUUGUCUCAGAUACCUUUCUUCACAGGACGUGCUUCGAGCUGUCAAGGAGACUGAUGGAUUCAAGCACAUCAUAGCAAGCUGCCCAUGGAUUAUGAUGGACAUCUUAGAGAAGGUUGCGCCACCGUCAGGAGUAUGA
rnacentral:rRNA from 1 species